rnacentral:rRNA from 1 species
UACGUAGGGUGCAAGCGUUAAUCGGAAUUACUGGGCGUAAAGCGUGCGCAGGCGGUCUUGCAAGACAGGUGUGAAAUCCCCGGGCUUAACCUGGGAACUGCACUUGUGACUGCAAGGCUGGAGUACGGCAGAGGGGAUGGAAUUCCGCGUGUAGCAGUGAAAUGCGUAGAUAUGCGGGAGGAACACCGAUGCGAAGGCAAUCCCCUGGGCCUGUACUGACGCUCAUGCACGAAAGCGUGGGGGAGCAAACAGG